GAUGAACGCUGGCGGCGUGCCUAAUACAUGCAAGUCGAGCGAACAGACGAGGAGCUUGCUCCUCUGACGUUAGCGGCGGACGGGUGAGUAACACGUGGAUAACCUACCUAUAAGACUGGGAUACCUCGGGAAAACGGAGCCAAAUCCGGGUUAUAUAUUGAACCGGCUGGGUUCAAUGUGAAAGACGGUUUUGUUUUCACUUUUAGGAUGAUCCGCGCCCCAUUAGCUAGUUGGUAAGGGAACGGCUUACCAAGGCAACGAUGCGUAGCCGACCUGAGAGGGUGAUCGGCCACACUGGAACUGAGACACGGUCCAGACUCCUACGGGAGGCAGCAGUAGGGAAUCUUCCGCAAUGGGCGAAAGCCUGACGGAGCAACGCCGCGUGAGUGAUGAAGGUCUUCGGAUCGUAAAACUCUGUUAUUAGGGAAGAACAAAUGUGUAAGUAACUAUGCACGUCUUGACGGUACCUAAUCAGAAAGCCACGGCUAACUACGUG
rnacentral:rRNA from 1 species